GAUGAACGCUGACAGAAUGCUUAACACAUGCAAGUCAACUUGAAUUUGGGUUUUUAACUUAGGUUUGGGUGGCGGACGGGUGAGUAACGCGUAAAGAACUUGCCUCACAGCUAGGGACAAAAUUUGGAAACGAAUGCUAAUACCUAAUAUUAUGAUAAUAGGGCAUCCUAUAAUUAUGAAACCUAUAAGCGCUGUGAGAGAGCUUUGCGUCCCAUUAGCUAGUUGGAGAGGUAACGGCUCACCAAGGCGAUGAUGGGUAGCCGGCCUGAGAGGGUGAUCGGCCACAAGGGGACUGAGACACGGCCCUUACUCCUACGGGAGGCAGCAGUGGGGAAUAUUGGACAAUGGACCAAGAGUCUGAUCCAGCAAUUCUGUGUGCACGAUGAAGUUUUUCGGAAUGUAAAGUGCUUUCAGUUGGGAAGAAAGAAAUGACGGUACCAACAGAAGAAGUGACGGCUAAAUACGUG
rnacentral:rRNA from 1 species